rnacentral:rRNA from 1 species
UGGGGAAUAUUGCACAAUGGGCGAAAGCCUGAUGCAGCAACGCCGCGUGAGUGAUGAAGGUCUUCGGAUUGUAAAGCUCUGUCUUUUGGGACGAUAAUGACGGUACCAAAGGAGGAAGCCACGGCUAACUACGUGCCAGCAGCCGCGGUAAUACGUAGGUGGCGAGCGUUGUCCGGAUUUACUGGGCGUAAAGGGUGCGUAGGCGGAUGUUUAAGUGAGAUGUGAAAUACCCGGGCUUAACUUGGGUGCUGCAUUUCAAACUGAAUAUCUAGAGUGCAGGAGAGGAGAAUGGAAUUCCUAGUGUAGCGGUGAAAUGCGUAGAGAUUAGGAAGAACACCAGUGGCGAAGGCGAUUCUCUGGACUGUAACUGACGCUGAGGCACGAAAGCGUGGGUAGCAAACAGGAUUAGAUACCCUGGUAGUCCACGCCGUAAACGAUGAGUACUAGGUGUAGGAGGUAUCGACCCCUUCUGUGCCGCAGUAAACACAUUAAGUACUCCGCCUGGGAAGUACGAUCGCAAGAUUAAAAC